AGAGCACUGUUGACAAUGUCUGCCUUCACUUGGAAUUCAGCACCUGCUUUCAGUAUAAACCCCUGCAUUUCACUAAAACUGAGCAGACUGCUGGUUUAAAAAAGAGAGGUCCAUCCAGCAGGGAUGAUGCUUUUCCUCGUUGAAAGAGGACAUUCACCUAAUGGGAGACCUGGAGUCAGAAUCUUUCUGAUGUGUGACUUGGCACAGUAACACAAUGCAGGAUGCUGGUGUGUUAAUAAAAAUAAAAAUUGCAUCGCCUACCUCAGAGUCGACAACAAUGUCAAGGAGUUAAUAGUCUUGGCAACACAGAGGCCACUGGACAGAGGCAUAACCUUGCGUGGCAGCUGCACGGGAAUUGGAUUUGGCUCAGGUGUUUCAGAUGACUAAGUUGGGAGCAUUUGACAAUUUUAGAUGUGGGAUGAAAAUUGCCUUAUCUAAGACAUAGGGCACCUGCAGAAGUAAAGAGAAACAGAACAAAGGGGACCACUCUUGGUAUAGAAGUUCAUCUCGUCGGGAGCAUCUGUGGUUCUUUUAUAAGCAAUGUACAUUCUACAAUAGAGGCAGACCCAGAAAUAAUUCAGAUAUUGGAGUUAGAAGAUCAGGAUUCUAAAAAAACCAAAAGAUCCUGCCUUACUAUGCACCUAUGGCCCUUCAAAGGCGAGAGUAGAAUCUGCUAUGAUUUAGAAGCAAGCAAUAAAAAGUACACAUCAGGGUGCCUAGAGACUUCACCUCUAUUUCCAUGAGGGACUGAACAGCCUCUUGAGAAGGGACUCAUCAAAAUGGAAGAGUUGGCAAUAAGAAGUUUGGCUAAAUAACCAAGCACUGAAGUUGCAGAGGAGAAAGGAUUUGAAAGGCAGUACAGUGUCCAGGGGCAAGUUG
rnacentral:lncRNA from 10 species